rnacentral:rRNA from 1 species
AUUGAACGCUGGCGGCAGGCCUAACACAUGCAAGUCGAGCGAGCGGCGGACGGGGGAGUAAUGUAUGGGGACUGCCCGAUAGAGGGGGAUAACUACUGGAAACGGUAGCUAAUACCGCAUACUAUCGGAUAACCCAUAUGGGAUUAGCUAGUAGGUGAGGUAAUGGCUCACCUAGGCGAAGAUCCCUAGCUGGUCUGAGAGGAUGGUCCGCCACACGGGGAAUGAGAUACGGCCCAGACUCGUACGGAGGAAGAAGUGGGGAAUAUUGCACAAUGGGCGCAAGCCUGAUGCAGCCAGGCCGCGUGUAUGAAGAAGGCCUUCGGGUUGUAAAGUACUUUCAGCGGGGAGGCGUUACCCGCAGAAGAAGCACCGGCGAACUCCGUGCCAGCAGCCGCGGUAAUUC